AUGAGAAUGUGCCUUCGGGAACCGUGAGACAGGUGCUGCAUGGCUGUCGUCAGCUCGUGUUGUGAAAUGUUCGGGUUAAGUCCCGCAACGAGCGCAACCCUUAUCCUUUGUUGCCAGCGGUCCGGCCGGGAACUCAAAGGAGACUGCCAGUGAUAAACUGGAGGAAGGUGGGAUGACGUCAAGUCAUCAUGGCCCUUACGACCAGGGCUACACACGUGCUACAAUGGCGCAUACAAAGGGAAGCGACCUCGCGAGAGCAAGCGGACCUCAUAAAGUGCGUCGUAGUCCGGAUUGGAGUCUGCAACUCGACUCCAUGAAGUCGGAAUCGCUAGUAAUCGUGGAUCAGAAUGCCACGGUGAAUACGUUCCCGGGCCUU
rnacentral:rRNA from 1 species